CCAAACAGACUUAACAAGCAGAUCGGCUGCUGCUCAUCAAAACAUGUCUUUACCCAAGAAAGCAAAAUCAGGGACCCCUAAACGAAAGGAAAAGGCAGAAAGGGACAGGAACCAAGGAGCGGGAAGACAACUUCUUUCAGAAGAAAGUCUUUGUUCCACCAACAUCAGUAGAAAGUGGGGAUGAGGACAGAGCUCCGGUCUCUAGGACUGUAGCCUGGGUUCCACGGCAAGAUCCAGCCAGGACAUGCCCUCUCCUCGAUGCGUCUCCCUGUUGGCGCCAGUGGACAAUAUGACAUCUUUGCCUCACGCCUUUGCUGCAGGAUGUGCAAAAGAGGAUCUGGUUGGCCGACACUCCUUGCAGGCUGGAUAAACUGCCGAAAGCGGUUUACAGACAUCAUGCCACCAUUUCUGACAUGUGACAGCUUGCAAGUCUGUGCUUCAUGAGCUGGGGCACACUGGCGAUUCACCCUCAGACAUGGCAAGUCAGGUGAUCAAAUGAAUGAAUCUCUGGACUGGACUCUGUUGACUGGAAAAAAAUUCCUUCUGACAAAUAAAGCAAUAAUGUGUGACGUCUUUAGGUGA